rnacentral:lncRNA from 1 species
GUCAAAUUAGAAGUUGCCUCUCUACAGUCAGGCAAAGGAGAAAGUUGGAAUAAGAAAAGCACACAUCCUGUUUCAAAGACAGAGAGAGGAAGAGCCAUGGAAAUCUACAAAAGAGAGGCCUGAAAAUGAAACAAAUGGAAGCUGAGAAGCAAUCUGAUGUUGCUAUUGUUUGUGAUGGCCGAGGCAGAGGAGGGGUUGCCUGUCUUCUACUGCUCUCUGUCUUACUCCUUUUAAGAGUUGACUGCACACCUGGAAACUUUAAGAGAAUUUACGACACUGGGCCGAUGUAAAUUAUACUCUACAGAACACAAGAACUUGGGGGCAAGAUCUCAGAUAGUGAAGUAAUCUCCAAGAAAACACGGGAGCUGCCAGACACUGCGUGCCUAACAGGAUGGCUGCUAAGAUCCUCCUGAAGUGACUUCAUCACAGACACUUGUUGUUGACCAGCUAUUAGAGGACCAAAUUACUGU